rnacentral:lncRNA from 10 species
CAGGAGGCCGGCAUAAUCACGAAUUGCAGCUGUCUGAAGGGCAGUCACAUAAAAGAGGAGAAGCUUCACCUUUGCUUCACAAGGCACAUCUUGAACCAGGGAUGGAAAUUACAGAGAGGCCAAAACCAGCUCGGUGUGAGCAGGACUGGUAACAGACUGGCCAAGCAACAGAAGGGGCUGCCCUGUGAAGAAGCAAGCUCUCUGUCAAUGGGAGGUGCAAGCUGAGCCUGCACUACCUUUUGUCACGGUUGCUAUGGAAAAGAUUAAGAGCCCGGAUAGCCCUUCCUCCUCUGGGGGCCUGGGCAUCAGCAAGUCGGAUGGCAGUGGAAGGUGGAGAAAUGGAAUCCUGCUGGGGGCUCAGGAGGCCUGCCCCCUGAUGCUGCCGUGCACUGCAGAUGUCCUUGAUGAAGAGAAUGAAUGGAAGUUUAAAUGAUGAAACUCUGGGGAUCAGCGUAAAGUAAACCAACAUACUGCAUGUAAGUAUCAAGUAAAUGAGCAGAGACAGCCCCUGGUUUACAAACACCUGACUUAAGCAUCGUCCAUCCUACAGAGAGUUGCAGAACAAGAUCAGAAACUGAUUAACUUCAGAACUUCAGUGGAAGCUGAGUUCCUUGAUGCAACAAAUGUCUACAGCCAAUGUUACAGCCCUAAUUGUCAUAAACAAAGAUUGUAAAAACUAGAGUGAUAUCUGGGAAGGCUUAGAUGAGCCCAUGAUUAGAAGAUCCACAACAUAGCUGGAGUUACUUCGGAUAACUCUGCACCAUCACUCUCAUUUCCAUUGGAUGCAAGUAUAGAUUCAUCCAAGGUACUACUUACUAUGGAGUAAGUAUAGAUUCAUCCAGGGUACUACGUAAACGGCAGGCCAGGGAAGAGAAAAACUUAUUCGGAAUUCACUGCAGGACUAUUGACAGAGAUAGAUUACCGGAUUUGUUGGUGGGGGA